UACUACCAGAACUGCUUGAAGUAAAACCUCCUGGGUGUGAAAGCAGUAAUCUCGAUAAGCAAAAGCAAUGGGAUCAACAACUUUUUCUGCCAAGCACAUCCCCGGUUAUACAGAGCUGUAAAUUGCCAGACAAUAUGGCACCACGAUUCCUAGAAGAUGAAGGAUUUUAUAUUCCAAGAAAGCCUCGUGUAUCUAGGAAUACAUACUACAAAAUGGAAAGCCGUCUUCUUCAGCAAGAUGGGGGGAAAAACUGGUUUGAAGAAAGCGGAGAAAUAAUGUCAUUGCCUUCUCCAAUCAAACCAUCAAGUUACUACAGAGUGUUUUUUCCUUCUGAGAUUGACCCACAAUUAAAGACAAUAUACAGGAAGGCAAUGCAACCUCAACUGGAAAACUGCAUCAUAACUAAGUCAGAGGAACAGAGCAAAAUUUAUCAACUGGAUCUUAACAUAUCAAGUAUUGUGUUUAGCCAUCAUUUUUUUUUCAACUGUGAACAAGUACUGGCUGCCAGGUUGCUUGACCUUUAUGACUGCUUUCAACAACGGCAGCAGCAAAACGUUACUCUCUUGCUAUCUGAAAAACUCAAAGCAUUAAUAAAUUCCACAAAAUUACUGGAAAGUAACUUAAAAACAAGUGAGCUAAGUACGAAAACUUUGAAGGAUUACAGAUCACAAAUAAGAAAUACCAGAAUAUUACAUGAUAUAGAACACCAAAGAGAUAAAUGCUUAAUACAAAGUAUUAUGAAAGUAUGGAAACAAAUAAAAUCUCUACGGAGACAGCAAGGAUUUGUUAGUUCUACUGUCAGGCUGCAAUUUCAAAAGCUGACAUAUAUCUCAGAACUUGAUGAAUUCGAAGGCAACAUAUCAGAAGAGAAUGAAAAUGCUCCAAGAGACGAAAGAUAUACUGAUUUAUCAAACAAAUUUUCAGCAGCUGGAAGAAGACAGAAGGGAUGCUUGGAUUCAGCUCAUACCUUCCAAACUGCAAUGGACACCGGAGGGAUAAAUGAACCUCUUUUGGUACCACAUCUUACCUUUGUAACAGAAAUAACAGCAGACGACAUGUGCCCUCUAGAUGAACGACAGCGAAGAGAAAAAGUCAAAAUGGAAAAAUACUUUAUUAAAAUAUAUUACAACAAUAAAUUGGUCUCCUCUACUUCUGAAGCGCCUCUUCACCAGGAUUUUAAAGUAAUAUUUCAGCAGAUUUUUAGAAUUCAAGUAUUAAACUGGCCUGAAUCUCUUCGAUUAGAGAUAUUUGAAUCAAGUAAAAAACCGACUUUGUUGGCCAAAGUGUACUUACCUCUUCCCAAUAAUGUUACAUUGAAAAGCAAAGAUGUUUUGGACGAGGCAGAGUUUAGUUGUGAACAACAAGUUAAACCUUCCAAUGGGGCAGUGGGAAGCAAUGUAUCUUUUUUCCUUGGUGAAAAGGAAAGAGAAGAACUAUGUAUUCUGACAUCAGGAAAAUUAAUGUAUUCUUUAUCCUGGACAGUUGAUGACACAGGAGCUCCUUUAGCACCCACAUUUCAGCCCCUUCAUGUUGCCUGCAUUAGUGUGCCAAGGUAUAUCGAUUCAGGAAAAGGAACUGGAAUUUGGCAGCAUUCUGACAUACAGAAACUAAUUGAGUGGGCAAAAGAAGCCAAUAUUGAUCCAAAUAACCCUGACUAUUUGGAUUUGAUUGAGAUAAUCAUGUAUACAAAAUCCUUGGAGCAAAAUGAAUCAAAAUACUUUCGUCUUGAACAGCUGCAAGAAGAAUUUAACUUUGUUACUGCAGAAGAGAUUACAAAUUGUAAACGUUUCCAGCUGUUGCAGCUGAGAAGCUUGGGACAGUUAGAUUUCUAUGGUUUCCAGCAAAUUCCUCUGUAUGACAGAGAAAUACCAGACACGGUCUUUCAGGCAUAUGGGAACCAGUUAGAAAAGGACAUGAUGACAGAUGCAGAUCCUAUUUCUGCACGAAGGAAUAGUUCAGCCACUUUUGUUAGGAUGAUGAGAAAACAAGCUACAAAACGAAUUGUGACCAUUAGGCACAAGUUUAACUUAUCUGAUAUUGUGAAUGAUUAUGAAGAAAUUAUAUCUAUGAGUGAAUUGAGUAAUGCAAUUUUCAAGCUAGGUGAACGCAAAAGACAUUUGAAACCACAAAGGAAAGAGAGGCGAAAGAUUCCAGCACAGGCUGUCUCUGAUGGAGAUGUAAAACUUCUCAUCAGGAUAUUGAGAGCCUAUAAUAUCCCUGCAAGAAAGGCACCACCAACUAAGGUUGGAGUUGCUAAUUCACCAUCCUAUUUACCAAAUCGUAUGUCCAGAGGCAGACAUAUUUUGUCAGGAAAUUCAGCCUAUUCAGCAGACCCUUUGUAUGAGGUGGGUGUCCACCCUUUUGUAGAAGUUACCUUCCAGGACACAAUCUAUCAAACUAGCACUGCUGAUGGCUCUCAUCCAUGUUGGAACGAAGAACUGCAAGUUGAUUUUAUCUCUCCAGGGCAUGAUUAUACUUUUUCAGGGCUAUCUAAAAUCAAAGACAAUAUAAAUAUUAACAUUUUUGAUGAAUUUGUGAUUGAAAAGCAUGAGGACACAUGUCCAAAAAACUGCAGUGGUCACUCCUAUGUAAGAAAGAAUUGGCUUGGAUCAGUUAUGUUUCCUUUCUCUACACUCCUGGAGCAAUCAAAGAUUUGUGGUACAUUUCAAGUAAAUAUGCCACCGGUUUUGCUUGGAUAUACUUGGAGUAAGACAUAUGUGCCUCCCAAAGAAGAAUGUCAUGGCCAGAACUUGAAGGAAUAUACUUUUUUAACCAUCUUUGCCACUAUUGAACCUCAAAUAUCUUCUACUGAAAAUAAUUUAGAAUCAGACAAGUUCAUAGAUCAUGAAGAUCAAACACUGUUGCAAAAAGCAUACAUUUUUAAGCAAACAUGCAAAGCAUUGUUUCCAAAGAGGAGAAUAAUAACCUCAGCUUUUAACAAUCAAGGAAGAAAUAUUUUAGUAACAAAGUACAUUACCUCUCUGAAUCCACCUCAGCAGUUAUUAGAUAUGUGUGCUGAUGAGCCUAACUCAACUUCUGAUCUUAUAUCACGAUUUGUGUCUUUAAUUCCUUGUAUAUCAGACACUGGGGAUGAAAAUGAUGAUGUUGAUCUUUGGAUGACAUCAGAGAAUUUCCUUGAACUUGGUAUUGGUAGUAAAGAAGAACAUGCAGUGCUUCUAUGUAACUACUUUCUGUAUAUUGGGAAAAAAGCAUGGGUACUGUUGGGAACAUCAGUGUUAGAAGGGAAAGUAGCUUAUGUAGCAACACAAGAAAAUGGAGAGUAUUUUCUGUGGAAUCCACUGAGUGGCCAGUGCUAUAAGCAGUUUGAUGCAUUUUGCCCUCUACAGAGUGUUGAUUGCUUAAUCAGCUGGGAAAAUGUCUGGUUCAACAUACAGCAGAACAGUUCACCAAUGUGUGUCAGUUUUGAUAUUUCAAAGGAAAGCUUAUGGAAACAGUUUCUUCCAUACCACGUUCAGGAUUUAAAAAUGCAGACUGUACAGGUGACAAAUAUUUCAAAAAGUACUUACCUUGCAAGUGACUUGCCCAGUGGGGCAGAGCCUCACUGGAUGAGCCUACAUAUUACAUAUUGGGGUAAGAAGGAAAGAAGAAUUUGAGCUAGACUUCUGCUUUUAAAAAUUGCAAGUUGCUCUGAUACCGGAGAGCUGUGUGUGUAUUUAAAUCAGGGGUGAGGAACCUCCAUGUCACAGGCCUAAUUAGACUCACCAAGACUCUCAGUUUGGUCUGUGGAGCUAUUUUGGGCAAACCACACCUACCUGUCAGUCAAAAGACAUCAAACACAGAAAUAAUGUGAGCCUUUGUUGUACAAAGCAGUUUAGCAGGGGCACUCAAAAAGGGUGGUCUUCAACAUCAUUCAAUCAACUUUAGGUCAGUGUAGAAGACACAGGUGUUUACUAUUUAAUAGAGACCAUCAUAGGAUGGAAUGCUGGAUUGUGGAAAUUCUGUUUCUACAUCUCAAAAUUAGCUUUGAGCCUUGCAUCCUGGAACAUGAAUCUAUGUUUCAAGAAUACAACUUGAAUUUACUAAUAUAUAUCUCGGUAGUUUUUCUUUCUUUCCUUAACAACAUGGCUUAAUCAAAAAAAUCUCAAAGCAGUUUACAUAAAAUAGUAUACAAUAUUCAUAAGGAAAUAACAAUAAAACCAGCAGACUUUAAAAAUAAGUAGACAGAUUGUGUCCACAUGGAAACAGACAGUUCAAUUCUUUACUGUCGUCAUAGCUCAGUCAGUAGAGCCUGAGACUCUUAUUCUCAGGUUCAUGGGUUUGAGUUGGGCAAAGGAUUCCUGCAUUAAAGGGGGUUGGACUAGAUAAUGCUCGUAAUUCCUUCCAACUCUACAAUUGCAUGGUUCUAUGAUUCUUUUAGGAGGAAAGAAACAUGCAGUCUCAUGGAAUCUGGAAGCGGAGCCACAGGCUAAUCCAACAUUUCCUCAUAGUGGGAAAACAGAUGAGAGCUGAAGUUAGAGGGAGGAGUCUAUUGUCAAUUUUAUCUGUGCUCUCACUCCUCUCCCAUCAGUGUUAGCAUUUUUCUGCACAGCUUCUCUCAUUAUUAAUCUCCAUACCACAAACAGUAAUUAAUUGGUGCCAGUUAUACUUCAGGAAUCUCACUCCCUGACCAUCUUUUACGUUACAGCUGCAUUUUUCUAGUAAUGUAUGGUGUGCUUUGUAUCAAAAAAUUGUGAUACCUUCAGAAAAUCGUUCCAGAUCCUGCUUAAUGUGUAUCUGUAUAUUACAGUAUUGUACAAUAUCUGUUUUAGCAAGAAGAACUAUUUUACACGCCAACUGAUCUAAGUUUAGUCGUAGAGCUACAAAAUAGGAUUGAAAAGACUUUGAAAAAGAAAUUUAUGGAAUGGCGAUCUCAGCAGCCAACUCGGU